rnacentral:rRNA from 1 species
UACGUAGGGUGCGAGCGUUGUCCGGAAUUACUGGGCGUAAAGAGCUCGUAGGUGGUUUGUCGCGUUGUCCGAAAUUCCCUGGCUUAACUGGGGGCGUGCGGGCGAUACGGGCAGACUGGAGUACUGCAGGGGAGACUGGAAUUCCUGGUGUAGCGGUGGAAUGCGCAGAUAUCAGGAGGAACACCGGUGGCGAAGGCGGGUCUCUGGGCAGUAACUGACGCUGAGGAGCGAAAGCGUGGGGAGCGAACAGG